GAUGAACGCUGGCGGCGUGCCUAAUACAUGCAAGUCGAGCGAACAGACGAGGAGCUUGCUCCUCUGACGUUAGCGGCGGAUGGGUGAGUAACACGUGGAUAACCUACCUAUAAGACUGGGAUAACUUAGGGAACCCGGAGCUAAUACCGGAUAAUAUAUUGAACCGCAUGGUUCACUAGUGAAAGACGGUUUUGCUGUCACUUAUAGAUGGAUCCGCGCCGCAUUAGCUAGUUGGUAAGGUAACGGCUUACCAAGGCAACGAUGCGUAGCCGACCUGAGAGGGUGAUCGGCCACACUGGAACUGGGACACGGGCCAGACUCCUACGGGAGGCAGCAGUAGGGAAUCUUCCGCGAUGGGCGAAAGCCUGACGGAGCAACGCCGCGUGGGUGAUGAAGGUCUUCGGAUCUUAAAACUCUGUUAUUAGGGAAGAACAAAUGUGUAAGUAACUAUGCACGUCUUGACGGUACCUAAUCAGAAAGCCACGGCUAACUACGUG
rnacentral:rRNA from 1 species